rnacentral:piRNA from 1 species
UUGCCUAAAUUAGAUAUGGAUUAGACUC